AAGUGCCCCGCCUGGGGAGUACGGCCGCAAGGCUAAAACUCAAAGGAAUUGACGGGGGCCCGCACAAGCGGCGGAGCAUGCGGAUUAAUUUGAUGCAACGCGAAGAACCUUACCAAGGCUUGACAUGGACCGGAAAGACCUGGAAACAGGUGCCCCGCUUGCGGCCGGUUUACAGGUGGUGCAUGGUUGUCGUCAGCUCGUGUCGUGAGAUGUUGGGUUAAGUCCCGCAACGAGCGCAACCCUCGUUCUAUGUUGCCAGCGGUUCGGCCGGGGACUCAUAGGAGACUGCCGGGGUCAACUCGGAGGAAGGUGGGGACGACGUCAAAUCAUCAUGCCCCUUAUGUCUUGGGCUUCACGCAUGCUACAAUGGCCGGUACAAAGGGUUGCGAUACUGUGAGGUGGAGCUAAUCCCAAAAAGCCGGUCUCAGUUCGGAUUGGGGUCUGCAACUCGACCCCAUGAAGUCGGAGUCGCUAGUAAUCGCAGAUCAGCAACGCUGCGGUGAAUACGUUCCCGGGCCUUGUACACACCGCCCGUCAAGUCACGAAAGUUGGUAACACCCGAAGCCGGUGGCCUAACCCUUGU
rnacentral:rRNA from 1 species